rnacentral:lncRNA from 1 species
CAUGGGCAAUUUUGAAUCAAGGGGGAGUGUUGAAGACUGAUUCAAACUUUGACAGCAUAUUUUUCGGAAGGCUUAUCUCUUUGUUAGUUGGUUUCUAGGCGAAACUUAUCUCUUUACUAGUUUGUUUCUAGACAGGACUUAUCUCUUAGUUUUCUGGUUUAUGGUUCUUAUCUGGUUGUUUAGUGUUUCCGCUGGUUGUAAGCCUAUAAAGAGGCAUUAUCUGUUAUGAAGUUGGUGUGCUGAAAAAUAUCCUCUGUUUUCCUCUGUUUCCAGAAAAUAAAACAAGUCUUCCAUUCAUAUUUGUUAUCUAUCACUCCUUCUUCCCAACAAU